CUGCCAGGGCCUGAGGCUGCCAUGGGCUCCAGACUCCUCUGCUGUGUGGCCCUUUGUCUCCUGGGAGCAGGUGUGGUGAAGGCUGGGGUAUCUCAGAGCCCCAGAUUCCAGGUCCUGAGGACAGAACAGAGGGUGAACUUGAGUUGUGUCCAGGAAAUGAACUACAACUACAUGUACUGGUAUCGCCAGGACCCGGGACUCGGGCUGAGGCUGAUCUAUUACUCCAUUACCUCCAAGAGUAUAAAUGAAGGUGACAUCCCCAAAGGGUACAAUGUGUCCAGACCAAAUAAAAAGAACUUCCUGCUCACGCUGGAGUCUGCCACCACCUCCCAGACGGCUGUGUACUUCUGUGCCAGCAGUGAUGCACAGCGCUGCAGGCUCACCUCCUCUCUGCACAAGAAAGCGGGGCCAGCACCCCAGGACUCAUCAUGCCCUUUGCUGACCCAGAACAGGGAACCCUGGAGCCCUGAGGCCCUGGGCAGUGUGAACCCAGGCCCAGUGGACUCCGAAGUCACGCAGAACCCUAAGCAUCUGGUCACAGCAAGAGGACAGAAUGUGACCCUGAGAUGUUCCUAUGAGACUGGACAUGAGUCUAUAUACUUGUACCAGCAGACCCCAGGCCAGGGCCCCAAGUUCCCAGUUCAGUAUUACGAUGGAAAACAGCAAGAAAAAGGAAGUCUCCCUCAAUGA